rnacentral:rRNA from 1 species
CCUACGGGAGGCAGCAGUGGGGAAUAUUGCACAAUGGGGGAAACCCUGAUGCAGCGACGCCGCGUGAGUGAAGAAGUAAUUCGUUACGUAAAGCUCUAUCAGCAGGGAAGAAAAUGACGGUACCUGAGUAAGAAGCCCCGGCUAACUACGUGCCAGCAGCCGCGGGAAUACGGAGGGGGCAAGCGUUAUCCGGAUUUACUGGGUGUAAAGGGAGCGUAGGCGGCCGUGCAAGUCUGGAGUGAAAGGGGGGGGCUCAACCCCCGGACUGCUCUGGAAACGGUACGGCUGGAGUGCAGGAGGGGUAAGUGGAAUUCCUGGUGUAGCGGUGAAAUGCGUAGAUAUUAGGAGGAACACCAGUGGCGAAGGCGGCUUACUGUACUGUAACUGACGUUGAGGCUCGAAAGCGUGGGGAGCAAACAGGAUUAGAUACCCCUUAGUC